rnacentral:sRNA from 1 species
ACGUGGGUCAUCUCCGGGCCACAGAGAAAAUGAAAACCCGGGAGCUGCACCGUGAGAGUUCCAACUUUGACUCCAUCUAUAUCUGCCCCAGUACCUUCGCCUGUGCACAGCUUGCCACUGGCGCAGCCUGCCGCCUGGUAGAGGCUGUGCUCUCAGGAGAGGACACCACGCGGAGCAGGAUGCAGCUUGCGGUUUUUGCUUUUUCAACUCUGUGGCUGUGGCUGCUCGCCAUGCCCAGGCUAUCAGUGGGCGUGCCCUACGAAUCCUGAUUGUGGAUUGGGAUGUCCACCACGGUAAUGGAACUCAGCACAUGUUUGAGGAUGACCCCAGUGUGCUAUAUGUGUCCCUGCACCGCUAUGAUCAUGGCACCUUCUUCCCCAUGGGGGAUGAGGGUGCCAGCAGCCAGAUCGGCCGGGCUGCGGGCACAGGCUUCACCGUCAACGUGGCAUGGAACGGGCCCCGCAUGGGUGACGCUGACUACCUAGCUGCCUGGCAUCGCCUGGUGCUUCCCAUUGCCUACGAGUUUAACCCAGAACUGGUGCUGGUCUCAGCUGGCUUUGAUGCUGCACGGGGGGACCCGCUGGGGGGCUGCCAGGUG